AUUGAACGCUGGCGGCAUGCUUUACACAUGCAAGUCGAACGGCAGCGCGGGCUUCGGCCUGGCGGCGAGUGGCGAACGGGUGAGUAACGCAUCGGAACGUGCCCAGUAGUGGGGGAUAGCCCGGCGAAAGCCGGAUUAAUACCGCAUACGACCUGAGGGUGAAAGCGGGGGACCGAAAGGCCUCGCGCUAUUGGAGCGGCCGAUGUCGGAUUAGCUAGUUGGUGGGGUAAAGGCUUACCAAGGCGACGAUCCGUAGCUGGUCUGAGAGGACGACCAGCCACACUGGGACUGAGACACGGCCCAGACUCCUACGGGAGGCAGCAGUGGGGAAUUUUGGACAAUGGGGGCAACCCUGAUCCAGCCAUGCCGCGUGCGGGAAGAAGGCCUUCGGGUUGUAAACCGCUUUUGUUCGGGAAGAAAUCCUCUGGGCUAAUACCCCGGGGGGAUGACGGUACCGGAAGAAUAAGCACCGGCUAACUACGUG
rnacentral:rRNA from 1 species